CGCCAUCUUAGUCGAUGUACCAGCAAGCCAGCGAGGCCACCGUAAGCAAUAUUGCUCUUGCGAGAGCUCUCCACCAGUAAUAACCCAUGUAGUUUAGUCUGGCAAAGGAAAAUCUGAUACUGAGUCUGCCCUCAAACUGCAGAAGAAAAAUGAAGUUGAGAUCGGUAAUUUUCUUCAUUCACGAUUUUCAGCAACUCAUACUGCUGAACACAUUUCAUUGCAAAUGAGAGGAAAUUUAUUCAGAAUGGUGAUUAAUGAAAAUAUAAAGGUGUGCAUCAUAUCUGACGAAUCAACCAUGUUCCAGCUUACCCAAUACAACACAGGGUUUUUGAGGAUGGAAAAUGUCAAGGAUCUUGGCUUUGGAAAUCUGCGUUUGACACCAA